rnacentral:tRNA from 1 species
UUCCAAGUGGCUCAGUGGUAAAGAAUCUGCCUGCAAUGCAGGAGACCCAGGUUCGAUCCCAGGGUUGGGAA